UUGGAGGGCAAGUCUGGUGCCAGCAGCCGCGGUAAUUCCAGCUCCAAUAGCGUAUAUUAAAGUUGUUGCAGUUAAAAAGCUCGUAGUUGAAUUUCGGGAUUAGUGCGCCGGUCGUGCCUUCGGUAUGUACUGGUGUUACUGGUUCCUACCUUCUGACGAACCGUCAUGUCAUUAAUUUGGUGUGGCGGGGAAUCAGGACUGUUACUUUGAAAAAAUUAGAGUGUUUAAAGCAGGCUCGCGCUUGAAUACAUUAGCAUGGAAUAAUGAAAUAGGACGUUCGAUCCUAUUUUGUUGGUUUCUAGGAUUGACGUAAUGAUUAAUAGGGAUAGUUGGGGGCAUUAGUAUUCAAUUGUCAGAGGUGAAAUUCUUGGAUUUAUUGAAGACUAACUACUGCGAAAGCAUUUGCCAAGGAUGUUUUCAUUAAUCAAGAACGAAAGUUAGGGGAUCGAAGACGAUCAGAUACCGUCGUAGUCUUAACCAUAAACUAUGCCGACUAGGGAUCGGAUGAUGUUAUUUUUAAUGACUCAUUCGGCGCCUUACGGGAAACCAAAGUGUUUGGGUUC
rnacentral:rRNA from 1 species